CUAGUCUAAACAGUAUUUGAUCAAUAACAAAAAUCUUUUUCUUGCUCUGUCACCCAGGCUGGAGUGCAGCUGCACGAUAUUGGCUCACUGCAACCUCCACCUCCCGAGUUCAAGCAGUUCUCCUGCUUCAGCCUCUCAAGUAGCUGAAAUUAUAGGCAGAAUGAAACUCCGGCAUCAAUCUGCCAGGCGGCCGGCUCUGAAUUAUGCUGGAACUGACAGGAAGGCUCCAGGUGGUGACAUCGGCUCAGCAGCGAGGGGUGGAGCCUGAGCUGCGUCCCUUGUCCUGGGUGCAAGGGGUACCCUGCUGCCCAGGCUUCCCAGAGGCGCCUCACACACCAGAUGGCACUUCACACUUGAUUUUAUUCUGUGACACUGAUUUGCUGAAAACCCCCGUUUCCUGGGCAGAGGAGGGCAGAAGGGCCCAGAGAAAAGGGGGGCUGGCCUCCCAGAAGGACUAGGGCCUGCUCUGCUGGGGUUACUGCUGACCAGGCCUCAGCCUUCCUUCCAGCCCCACCCUCUCCCCUGUAGUUUGUUUAAAAGUUGAACUGCAAAAAUUAAAUAAAAA